rnacentral:rRNA from 1 species
CCAUUGGAGUCUAAAAGGCCGCGGUAUUAUGACCGUGCUAAGGUAGCAUAAUCAUUAGUCUUUUAAUUGAAGGCUGGAAUGAAUGGUUGGACAAGAAAUAAGCUGUCUUAAAUAAAAAUAUUGAACUUAACUUUUAAGUGAAAAGGCUUAAAUUUUCUAAAGGGACGAUAAGACCCUAUAAAACUUUAUAUUUAAAAAUAAUUGUUAUUAUUAUUUAAAGAUUUUAUUUUUAAAUAUUUUAUUGGGGUGAUAAGGAUAAAAUAUAAGACAACUGUCUUUUAUUUUAACAAUAAUUUUUGAGUAAAUGAUCUUAAUAAAGGAAUAAAAGAUUAAGUUACUUUAGGGAUAACAGCGUAAUUUUCUUUAAGAGUUCUUAUC